UACGUAGGGGGCUAGCGUUGUCCGGAAUCAUUGGGCGUAAAGAGCGUGUAGGCGGCCCGGUAAGUCCGCUGUGAAAGUCGGGGGCUCAACCCUCGAAUGCCGGUGGAUACUGUCGGGCUAGAGUGCGAAAGAGGCGAGUGGAAUUCCUGGUGUAGCGGUGAAAUGCGCAGAUAUCAGGAGGAACACCAAUUGCGAAGGCAGCUCGCUGGGACGUAACUGACGCUGAGACGCGAAAGCGUGGGGAGCAAACAGG
rnacentral:rRNA from 1 species